AUACGGAGGGGACAAGCGUUAUUCGGAAUCACUGGGCGUAAAGGACGCGUAGGCGGGUCAUUAAGUCGGGUGUGAAAUCCAAUGGCUCAACCAUUGAACUGCAUUCGAAACUGAUAACCUAGAGUAUGGAAGGGGCAGGUGGAAUUAGUGGUGUAGGGGUAAAAUCCGUAGAUAUCACUAGGAAUACCGAAAGCGAAGGCGACCUGCUGGGACAUUACUGACGCUGAGGCGUGAAAGCGUGGGGAGCAAACAGGAUUAGAAACCCCAGUAGUCC
rnacentral:rRNA from 1 species